AUUGCUGCUGUCCUAAAAGCCAUUCCAUUCCUGGAAGAGCUGUGUGAAGAGAGGCUGGAGACUCAGGUUCCCAGAGGACCCAGAUAUCUACAGUGUGGUUACUAGAAAAUGUAAAACGGUAUAUGUGGAUCACACCAUAUUUCCUUGCCCGGCUCUGUUCUAAAGAAUGGAUUAAGUUAAUUUUAAAAUGGAUAAACUGGAAGCACCUCUAUUCCAUAUGGCACCGACAGUGGAUGCCUGACAGGAAGCUGAGGUAUCCAACUUCAAACUUUUCCACUUAGUUGGCAAUAAGUUGCUGCUGGCUGUCAACUGUAAGCUCUCCCAGGGCUUUAGCAGGAGGUUGGCUCCCCUUCACGUGUGCCUCUCCACUGGUUUCUUGGGCUUCACAGCGUGGUGGCCAACUCCAAGAGUCAGUUCUCCCAAGGACCUGAACUAGAGGACUACAUUUUCCUGACAUCUGACCUAGAAUCCAGAAUAGCAGCAUCAUUGAUAUAAAUUGGUGGUCAAACAGCCACAGAACCCACAUUCAAGGAAAGACUAUUUCUCAGUGGAAAAGAUUCAAAGAAUUUAGAGGCCACAUAGGAAGAUUUGGAAUGGUAAAUUUUUACUGAAUUAAUAAAUCUCAAAUUCUCAUUUGAAAACAAACUUGCAAAUGUUAGGUGUCUUUUCAAGGUCUCCAUAAAACUACCAACUACAUUGAAAACUGGUAUUAAGUACAACCACUCUGGAAAUCAGUCUGGCGGUUCCUCAGAAAAUUGGAC
rnacentral:lncRNA from 1 species